AACUGAAACAUAAGAACCUGAAUACGGCUGAUCUCGGAAGCUAAGCAGGAUCCGGCCUGGUUAGUACUUGGAUGGGAGACCGCUUGGGAAUACCAGGUGCUGUAGGUU
rnacentral:rRNA from 1 species